rnacentral:rRNA from 1 species
AAUCAACGCUGGCGGCGUGCCUCAGACAUGCAAGUCGAACGAUUAAAGCUCUCUUCGGAGAGUGUAUAGAGUGGCGCACGGGUGAGUAACACGUAAGUAAUCUACCCUCGAGUGGGGAAUAACAACCGGAAACGGUUGCUAAUACCGCAUAAUGCAGCGGCACCGCAAGGUGACAGUUGUUAAAGAUUUAUCGCUUGAGGAGGAGCUUGCGGCAGAUUAGCUAGUUGGUAGGGUAACGGCUUACCAAGGCUACGAUCUGUAACCGGUCUAAGAGGACGGUCGGUCACACUGACACUGAAUAACGGGUCAGACUCCUACGGGAGGCAGCAGUCGGGAAUUUUGGGCAAUGGGCGAAAGCCUGACCCAGCAACGCCGCGUGAAGGAUGAAGUAUUUCGGUAUGUAAACUUCGAAAGAAUAGGAAGAAUUAAUGACGGUACUAUUUAUAAGGUCCGGCUAACUACGUGCCAGCAGCCGCGUAAAGCACGACUGU